rnacentral:rRNA from 1 species
CCUACGGGUGGCAGCAGUGGGGAAUAUUGCACAAUGGGGGAAACCCUGAUGCAGCGACGCCGCGUGAGUGAAGAAGUAUUUCGGUACGUAAAGCUCUAUCAGCAGGGAAGAAAAUGACGAUGCUUGACUACUAAGCCGCCGCGAACUACGGCACAGCAGCCGCCGUAAUACGUCGGGGGCAAGCGUUAUCCUGAUGUACUGGGUGGAAAGAGGGCGUAGACGGCAGUGUAAGUCUGAAGUGAAAUACCAUGGGUUAACUAUGGAACUGCUUUGGAUACUGUGCAGCUGGAGUGCCGGAGAGGUAAGCGGAAUUCCUAGUGUAGCGGUGAAAUGCGUAGAUAUCAGGAGGAAUACCAGUGGCGAAGGCGGCUUACUGGCCUGUAACUGACGUUGAGGUUCGAAAGCGUGGGGAGCAAACAGGAUUAGAUACCCGGGUAGUC